AGUGAACGCUGGCGGCAGGCCUAAUACAUGCAAGUCGAACGGCAGCACAGCAGAGCUUGCUCUGUGGGUGGCGAGUGGCGGACGGGUGAGGAAUACGUGGGAAUCUGCCCAGUCGUGGGGGAUAACGUAGGGAAACUUACGCUAAUACCGCAUGCGCCCUUCGGGGAAAGCCGGGGACCUUCGGGCCUGGCGCGAUUGGAUGAGCCCACGUCGGAUUAGCUAGUUGGCGGGGUAAAGGCCCACCAAGGCGACGAUCCGUAGCUGGUCUGAGAGGAUGAUCAGCCACACUGGAACUGAGACACGGUCCAGACUCCUACGGGAGGCAGCAGUAGGGAAUAUUGGACAAUGGGCGCAAGCCUGAUCCAGCCAUGCCGCGUGAGUGAAGAAGGGCCCUCGGGUUGUAAAGCUCUUUUGUCCGGAAAG
rnacentral:rRNA from 1 species